UUGUAUUCGUGAACGCGAUGUUGGCGUUGCCAGUAUCAUUAGCUGUGUGCCGGGUUUUCAGGAUUUAUUUGAACAGGGAAAUCUUCAUCAGAUUUGUGAUUUUUCGGAGCAAACCGGUUUUUGUUUGGAGUUGAUCAGAGAAUUUUAUAUGAGAGCAGGUCACCUAAGUGAUUCCGACGGGGGUCCGUACGUAUUUAAGACUUCCGUACGGGGUGUUGAGUUAU
rnacentral:lncRNA from 1 species